rnacentral:tRNA from 1 species
GGUCGCUUAACUCAGUUGGUUAGAGUGUCGUACUAAUAUGUGCCGGUUCUCCGGUGUUCUGAAAUGCGAAAGUCGCCAGUUCGAUCCUGGUAGUGACCA